rnacentral:tRNA from 1 species
GCUGGUUUAGCAUAAUUUUAAUGCGGAAGACUGUAAAUCUUUUUAUAAUGCUUUCCAUUAACCAGAA